rnacentral:rRNA from 1 species
UACACUCCUACGGGAGGCAGCAGUGAGGAAUAUUGGACAAUGGGUGGAAGCCUGAUCCAGCCAUCCCGCGUGCAGGAAGACGGCCCUAUGGGUUGUAAACUGCUUUUAUCUGGGGAUAAACCUACUUACGUGUAAGUAGCUGAAGGUACCAGAAGAAUAAGCACCGGCUAACUCCGUGCCAGCAGCCGCGGUAAUACGGAGGGUGCAAGCGUUAUCCGGAUUUAUUGGGUUUAAAGGGUCCGUAGGCGGACUGAUAAGUCAGUGGUGAAAUCCGACAGCUUAACUGUCGAACUGCCAUUGAUACUGUUAGUCUUGAGUAAGGUUGAAGUGGCUGGAAUAAGUAGUGUAGCGGUGAAAUGCAUAGAUAUUACUUAGAACACCAAUUGCGAAGGCAGGUCACUAAGUCUUAACUGACGCUGAUGGACGAAAGCGUGGGGAGCGAACAGGAUUAGAAACCCUUGUAGUCCC